AGAUCUUCAUGUCCAGGAUUUCUGGAGUCUCCUGAUUAAAGAAAAGGAAAAUGAUGUUGCCCAGUUCUUACCAUGGCAGAUUCAGGGGUGGGAUUAUCUGCCCGCUUUCGUUUCCUCUGUAAUGAAGAAAAAAAGUUUUAUCAGAGAAAAUAAAUGCACAAAUAGGAAAACUAUAAUGCAAUAAAUGGAGGAGUGAGUAUUGAGUGACACAUGAGGGAUUUGGUGCAAACACAAGUAUGACACUGUGUAUCCCCUACACUAAAGCGGAAUCAGCACUAGUGAUAGUUGGGGGCACAAUUAGGCUUUCCACCUUUUGUUAUGUCUAAUACCGGCCAGGGUGGGGGCAUGUUUGCUAAGGGGCGGCACCCAGGAUACGGGGCAUGAUGCAAAUAGGGGCGGAGUAAUGAUAUCCCCGCCCACAUCAAGUGAACCUAGCAGUGCAGGGUAGGGAGGCAAGUUGGGGGAGGGAAUUGGAGGUGACGGGGUGGAUCAGAGGCGAUUGGAGGUUGGCUGGGGCCGGAGGACUAAUUAUUAUAAAUUUACAAGUACAUUGCCGGUACAUUUGCUGGCGAGAUCCUGUAGAAGUCACUGGGAAGUGUCAUAGUGAAACAUUCCAACUAUUCCAGUCUUAAUUUUUUGAGCUUUGCGACCCAUUAAAAAAUGUUAAAAUGAUGAAUUUUA